rnacentral:rRNA from 1 species
GACGAACGCUGGCGGCGUGCUUAACACAUGCAAGUCGAACGGAAAGGCCCUGCUUUUGUGGGGUGCUCGAGUGGCGAACGGGUGAGUAACACGUGAGUAACCUGCCCUUGACUUUGGGAUAACUUCAGGAAACUGGGGCUAAUACCGGAUAGGAGCUCCUGCUGCAUGGUGGGGGUUGGAAAGUUUCGGCGGUUGGGGAUGGACUCGCGGCUUAUCAGCUUGUUGGUGGGGUAGUGGCUUACCAAGGCUUUGACGGGUAGCCGGCCUGAGAGGGUGACCGGCCACUUGGGGACUGGGAUAGCGCCCUGGUCCCCGUGGGGGGCUGAUAGGGUGAAUGUUAACCAUGGUGCGGAAGGUUGUCGCAGUAGCCCCCGGUUGGGGAUGCCGGCCUUCGGGUUUAAACCCGUUUUCGCUGUUGACGAAGAGGGUGUGGCUGAAGUGGGUAAAAAAGCCCCGGCUAGUUUCGU